GAUGAACGCUGGCGGCGUGGAUAAGGCAUGCAAGUCGAACGAAGCUGUUUUAACUGGUGCUUGCACCGACUUAAACAACUGAGUGGCGAACGGGUGAGUAACACGUGGGUAACCUGCCCCAAAGCGGGGGAUAACAUUUGGAAACAGAUGCUAAUACCGCAUAACCACAGAAACCACAUGGUUUCUGUGUCAAAGAUGGUUUCGGCUAUCACUUUGGGAUGGACCCGCGGCGUAUUAGCUAGUUGGUAAGGUAAUGGCUUACCAAGGCAAUGAGACGUAGCCGAAAUGAGAGGUUGAUCGGCCACAUUGGGACUGGGACACGGCCCAAACUCCUACGGGAGGCAGCAGUAGGGAAUCUUCCACAAUGGACGAAGGUCUGAUGGAGCAACGCAGCGUGAGUGAAGAAGGUUUUCGGAUCGUAAAACUCUGUUGUCAGAGAAGAACGUGUGCGAGAGUAACUGUUCGUGCAGUGACGGUAUCUGGCCAGAAAGCCACGGCUAACUACGUGCCAGCCGCCGCCGUAA
rnacentral:rRNA from 1 species